CAGCAGCCACGGGAAUACGAAGGGGGCUAGCGUUGUUCGGAUUUACUGGGCGUAAAGGGCGCGUAGGCGGACUGAUAAGUCAGGGGUGAAAUCCCAAGGCUCAACCUUGGAACUGCCUUUGAUACUGUUUGUCUUGAGUUCGAGAGAGGUAAGUGGAACUGCGAGUGUAGAGGUGAAAUUCGUAGAUAUUCGCAAGAACACCAGUGGCGAAGGCGGCUUACUGGCUCGAAACUGACGCUGAGGCGCGAAAGCGUGGGGAGCAAACAGGAUUAGAGACCCGCGUAGUCCCUGUCUCUUAUAC
rnacentral:rRNA from 1 species